GUGGAGGGCUUUUAUUUUUUCCCAAAAGAAAGCAAGUAAUGUUAGAGCAAUAAUUCUAGUAUCCGAAUUAGUCUUAUCCCUUGGCUCGCUCUAACGUUAUUACUCCCUAAUACUCCCUUUAACCGCAUCCCCCUGGUGCGGUUAUUUUU
rnacentral:sRNA from 12 species